rnacentral:rRNA from 1 species
UACGUAGGGUGCAAGCGUUGUCCGGAAUUAUUGGGCGUAAAGAGCUCGUAGGCGGUUUGUCGCGUCUGCUGUGAAAGACCGGGGCUCAACUCCGGUUCUGCAGUGGGUACGGGCAGACUAGAGUGCAGUAGGGGAGACUGGAAUUCCUGGUGUAGCGGUGAAAUGCGCAGAUAUCAGGAGGAACACCGAUGGCGAAGGCAGGUCUCUGGGCAUUAACUGACGCUGAGGAGCGAAAGCAUGGGGAGCGAACAGG